CUGUUGAUGUGGUAAGCACACAACAUCGUUUCACUUUAAUGUUACAUUAAUUCACAUAAUAGAAUAAUCUAAAGGCAAAUAAAAAAUCACACUUGAGAUUCCGUGUUUUUUUUAUUUUGAGCGUUGAACACUUAAGUUGACCACCUGAGAAUAUAUAGCAUUACUCAACACCUGAAGUAGCUGAGUGAAGAUAGAAUGGAGUUUGUAAGGUUUUUAGUGCUGAUGAUCACAAGUCUUGUCCUGCUUUUGCACAACUCAUGUGCUCUUGUUGUUCAUCACCAAGGAAGGAAACUGAAGGGGAACUCUCCGAUGGCUAGCCAAGAAAAUUUAGCACCUGCUAAAAUGGGACUUAUUCAUCGUGAUUCUUAAUCUGAUGCUGUCGGGGGAAACCAGCAGCAAUGGAACUACUAGGUAUUAAAACACCUAUGCCCUUAGAUACAUACAAAAUAUU